rnacentral:rRNA from 1 species
CAGCCAGACUCCUACGGGAGGCAGCAGUGGGGAAUAUUGCACAAUGGGCGCAAGCCUGAUGCAGCCAUGCCGCGUGUAUGAAGAAGGCCUUCGGGUUGUAAAGUACUUUCAGCGGGGAGGAAGGCGAUAAGGUUAAUAACCUUGUCGAUUGACGUUACCCGCAGAAGAAGCACCGGCUAACUCCGUGCCAGCAGCCGCGGUAAUACGGAGGGUGCAAGCGUUAAUCGGAAUUACUGGGCGUAAAGCGCACGCAGGCGGUCUGUCAAGUCGGAUGUGAAAUCCCCGGGCUCAACCUGGGAACUGCAUGCGAAACUGGCGGGCUGGAGUCGUGUAGAGGGGGGGAGAAUUCCGGGUGUAGCGGUGAAAUGCGUAGAGAUCUGGAGGAAUACCGGUGG